rnacentral:rRNA from 1 species
CAGCCGCCACGGGAAUACGAAGGGGGCUAGCGUUGCUCGGAAUUACUGGGCGUAAAGGGAGCGUAGGCGGACAUUUAAGUCAGGGGUGAAAUCCCAGAGCUCUACUCUGGAACUGCCUUUGAUACUGGGUGUCUUGAGUGUGAUAGAGGUAUGUGGAACUCCGAGUGUAGAGGUGAAAUUCGUAGAUAUUCGGAAGAACACCAGUGGCGAAGGCGACAUACUGGAUCAUUACUGACGCUGAGGCUCGAAAGCGUGGGGAGCAAACAGGAUUAGAUACCCGCGUAGUCCCUGUCUCUUAUAC